ACUAUACUGUCUCCCUACUCCAAUCAGUGAAACUGAUCUCCCCGUGAAAAAGCAGGGAUAUCCUUAUAAGACGAGAAGACCCCAUGGAGCUUUAAGCCCGGUAACAACCCCCUCCAUUUAUUCCCUUUUAGACUAAAAGACCUUGCUUACCACUUUAGGUUGGGGCGACCACGAAGUACACUAAAACCUUCACGAUAAAAGGAGCCUGCUCCUUAUCUACGAACUACCCCUCUAAGAAUCAGAACCCUGAUAUAAAAUGAUCCGAUCUAAUCGAUCAACGAACCAAGUUACCCUGGGGAUAACAGCGCAAUCCAUUUUAAGAGUUCUUAUCGCCAAAUGGGUUUACGACCUCGAUGUUGGAUCAGGGUAUCCUGGUGGUGCAACCGCUACUAACGGUUCGUUUGUUCAACGAUUAAAACCCUACGUGAUCUGAGUUCAGACCGGA
rnacentral:rRNA from 1 species